rnacentral:rRNA from 1 species
AUUUUGGACAAUGGGGGCAACCCUGAUCCAGCCAUCCCGCGUGUGCGAUGAAGGCCUUCGGGUUGUAAAGCACUUUUGGCAGGGAAGAAAAGCCGUGGGUUAAUACCUCGCGGCGCUGACGGUACCUGCAGAAUAAGCACCGGCUAACUACGUGCCAGCAGCCGCGGUAAUACGUAGGGUGCAAGCGUUAAUCGGAAUUACUGGGCGUAAAGCGUGCGUAGGCGGUUUGGCAAGAAAGAUGUGAAAUCCCAGGGCUUAACCUUGGAACUGCAUUUUUAACUGCCAGGCUAGAGUAUGUCAGAGGGGGGUAGAAUUCCGCGUGUAGCAGUGAAAUGCGUAGAGAUGCGGAGGAAUACCGAUGGCGAAGGCAGCCCUCUGGGAUAAUACUGACGCUCAGGCACGAAAGCGUGGGGAGCAAACAGG